GCGGCACGCCGCGCCCGUUAGUGUAUCUUUCUCGUGCCUGCACAUGGUCAUUAUGUGAACUCUGACAAUUAUAGACACAGUGAAAGCAAGAAUUUUUUUGUAGAAGAGGGAUUGGCCGGUUGUGCUUAUCUGUGUUUCUUGUAGACUCCAUAAUUGAUAAGAUUGAUCUCUAUAGCUGCUAGACUAACGGUACUCGGUAGUUUUUUUCUUUUUUCAGGGAGACUAACAGUAGUUGAUAGCACUGAAAUAUGUAUAGUGGUUUGGCUACAUGUGCUAGGUCAGUAACAUUGGGCCAGACGUGAUUCAUUCGUUCUAACCGUUUCGUAGUACUUUCUACCUAGUAUAUUUUAGCGGCUGAAAUGAUAAUAGGAACAGAAGAGAGGAAAGGGCACCACCAGCGACCAAAACAACCAGAAGAAGGAAUGAAUGAAAGGUAAGCCAUAGAGGAGGGCCCAGAAGAAGGAAUGAUUGAAAGGUAAGCCGUGGAGAGGAGAAAGAUGAGUUCUAGUUCGUUGACUCCUGGAGCGAUGGAGUCUUGCCGCUGGCCGAGAUCCAGCACUUGGGGAUCGUCUACCUAGGAUGAGCUACUGUAUGAAGAGGAACUGUCAGCUGUUGUAGGCAACCGCAGACAGAAAGCCAUGGAGGGCUGAUCGAGGUGAAGGAUGGUAGAAACGACUCAAGAUGGUGUGAGCCAAUCUCUCCGUGCCUUAAAUUGGAAAGGCUGUGUGAAAAUCAACUGCACAAAGACUAUCUUAUAACUGAUUACAUCAAUAUGGGAUGAUACAAAGACAGAAGAGAUGAAGAGUUGUCUUCAGCAUAAUAAAGCCAUUCAGUGCAACACAAAGUACAGAGAACAAAUUACUGAUUAUAGUACAACGUGGAAGUAUCUGCUAGUGUAAAAUGCAUAUAACAGAUACGUAGUGUGAUCAGUAUUGAGGUAGUUACGCCUUGAAGUGCAUCAGUUCGUGUACCGUGGCAGCUUUUGUAGGUAGUUUCAGCACUGAACCUCUGCAGCUGGCAUUUGCACAGACCUGAAAUUUGUUGCUCGAGGAUGGUCUUGUUCCUAUAAUUGAUUUCAAACCAUUAAUUCUUA